rnacentral:rRNA from 1 species
CCUGCUCAAUGUACCAAUAAAUAGCCGCAGUCAACUGUGCCAAGGUAGCAUAAUCACUAGCCUGCUAAUUACAGGAUAGAAUGAAAGACAUCACGAAUAAAAUACAUACACUAAAUAAAAAUCAAAACUUACCUUAAAGUAAAAAUCCUCUAAAAAACACGAAAGACGACAAGACCCUAAAAAACUUAACUACCUACAGUUAAGCUGGGGCGGCAAAAAAAUAAACCUUACACUAACCCCACACCUCCCUCCCCCCUAUAAAAUAUAUCACCAAGUUACUAUAGGGAUAACAGUAUAAUAGUUAUCAAAAGAUCACAUACAAAUAACUUCUUAUAACCUCGAUGUUGAAUUAAUACACUAUUUUGAGCAACCCCAAAACAAGAAGGUCUGUUCGACCUGUAAAAAAUUACGU